UACGAAGGGGGGCUAGCGUUGCUCGGAAUCACUGGGGCGUAAAGGGUGCGUAGGCGGGUCUUUUAAGUCAGGGGUGAAAUCCUGGAGCUCAACUCCAGAACUGCCUUUGAUACUGAGGAUCUUGAGUUCGGGAGAGGUGAGUGGAACUGCGAGUGUAGAGGUGAAAUUCGUAGAUAUUCGCAAGAACACCAGUGGCGAAGGCGGCUCUCUGGGCCUUUCCUGACGCUGAGACGCGAAAGCGUGGGGAGCGAACCGG
rnacentral:rRNA from 1 species